UACGUAGGGUCCGAGCGUUGUCCGGAAUUACUGGGCGUAAAGAGCUCGUAGGUGGUUUGUCGCGUUGUUCGUGAAAACUCACAGCUCAACUGUGGGCGUGCGGGCGAUACGGGCAGACUUGAGUACUGCAGGGGAGACUGGAAUUCCUGGUGUAGCGGUGAAAUGCGCAGAUAUCAGGAGGAACACCAGCGGCGAAGGCGGCGCUCUGGGCUGGAACUGACGCUGAGGAGCGAAAGCGUGGGGAGCGAACAGG
rnacentral:rRNA from 1 species